rnacentral:rRNA from 1 species
AGUGAACGCUGGCGGCAGGCCUAACACAUGCAAGUCGAGCGGAUGAAGGGAGCUUGCUCCUGGAUUCAGCGGCGGACGGGUGAGUAAUGCCUAGGAAUCUGCCUGGUUGUGGGGGAUAACGUCCGGACACGGGCGCUAAUACCGCAUACGUCCUGAGGGAGAAAGUGGGGGAUCUUCGGACCUUACGCUAUCAGAUGAGCCUAGGUCGGAUUAGCUAGUUGGUGGGGUAAAGGCCUACCAAGGCGACGAUCCGUAACUGGUCUGAGAGGAUGAUCAGUCACACUGGAACUGAGACACGGUCCAGACUCCUACGGGAGGCAGCAGUGGGGAAUAUUGGACAAUGGGCGAAAGCCUGAUCCAGCCAUGCCGCGUGUGUGAAGAAGGUCUUCGGAUUGUAAAGCACUUUUGGUUGGGAGGAAGAGCAGCAAGUUAAUACCUCGCUGUUUUGACGGUACCAACAGAAUAAGCACCGGCUAACUUCGUG